rnacentral:lncRNA from 1 species
GCAGAUCUUAGAAGAAGAAAAUCAAUUCUACAUAAAUGGCAAAAGCAGUGUUCCCCAAGCUGGGGCUGACAGACCCCUGAGAAAAAAGCAUUAUGUGCUAGCGGAGGAGCUGGAAGUUGUGGAUCUCCAACACUGAUUUCCAAUAUUUGGUUCUCCUCUGCUCCUGAUCACAUGCGAAAAUUACAGUUUCCCAUGUUGUUUCAGCAAAACAUCAUCCAUCACUGUAAAUUAAUGUUGUUAAUAUUGAACUUACUGAUUUUGUGGUUUUGAUGGUUUUUACUUUGUGAAUUAUUUUUAUUAAAACAAGCAUAUAUAAA